CCCUUAGAUGUUCUCGGCCGCACACGCGCUACACUGAAAGAGGCAACGUGUUUGCCUGAUUCGAAAGAAUUGGGUAACCCCCUAAUCUCUUUCGUGCUGGGGAUUGAGGUUUGCAAUUAUCCUUCAUGAACGAGGAAUUCCCAGUAAGUGCGAGUCAUUAUCUCGCGCUGACUACGUCCCUGCCCUUUGUACACACCGCCCGUCGCUCCUACCGAUUGAAUGGUCCGGUGAAGCGUUCGGACCGUGGCCUUUGGACGGUUCGCCGUCUGUUGGCUGCGGGAAGUUCGUUAAACCUUAUCAUUUAGAGGAAGGAGAAGUCGUAACA
rnacentral:rRNA from 1 species